GAGGAGUUUGAUCCUGGCUCAGGACGAACGCUGGCGGCGUGCCUAAUACAUGCAAGUCGAGCGGACAGAUGGGAGCUUGCUCCCUGAUGUUAGCGGCGGACGGGUGAGUAACACGUGGGUAACCUGCCUGUAAGACUGGGAUAACUCCGGGAAACCGGGGCUAAUACCGGAUGGUUGUUUGAACCGCAUGGUUCAAACAUAAAAGGUGGCUUCGGCUACCACUUACAGAUGGACCCGCGGCGCAUUAGCUAGUUGGUGAGGUAACGGCUCACCAAGGCAACGAUGCGUAGCCGACCUGAGAGGGUGAUCGGCCACACUGGGACUGAGACACGGCCCAGACUCCUACGGGAGGCAGCAGUAGGGAAUCUUCCGCAAUGGACGAAAGUCUGACGGAGCAACGCCGCGUGAGUGAUGAAGGUUUUCGGAUCGUAAAGCUCUGUUGUUAGGGAAGAACAAGUACCGUUCGAAUAGGGGCGGUACCUUGACGGUACCUAACCAGAA
rnacentral:rRNA from 1 species